rnacentral:rRNA from 1 species
AUGAGGUGCGUCUCAUCAGUGUCCUUUACAGUACUUUUUAAUGGAGCUGUAUUGGAUGAUUUCAGGCCUUCUUGUGGUGUUCGACAAGGGGAUCCAAUAUCUCCCUAUUUGUUCCUUAUUGCAGCUGAGGGACUAUCUUGUUUAUUGAAGAGUGCAAUUCGAGGCAUUAAGGUUGCACCGUCGGCUCCGGAAAUCAAUCAUCUCUUGUUCGCCGAGGUUAGUCUUUUGUUUUUUCAAGCAUCAAAUGACGAAGCUGGCACAGUACGGGACUUGCUACAGGUAUAUGGCAACGCCACCAGCCAACAAAUUAAUGUGGAUAAAAGUAUUUUUUUCACCAAAGGAGUUUCGGACAGCUUGAGAGGGGAGAUAAAAGAGACUCUAGCAGUCCGAAACGAAUCAUUAUCGGAUAAAUACUUGGGUCUACCAACAGAUGUUGGCAAAUCCAAGGAAGGAUGUUUUAGAUAUUUGAAAGAUAGGAUAUGA